AUGCGGAUUUCAGCUCAACCUGCCUUUGCUUAUAAUGCAUGACAUACCCCGUGAGGGAGCCUGAGAACAGACUCCCUUGAAAAGCAAGGUUCUCAUAGUUGGCCUGUAACCAUGGAAGCAGAUGCCGUUUUCUUCUUACCCUGCUUACCUCUUUGCAGCCUCGAGCUGCUCCCUAUUGUUAAAAGGGGUACGCCUUGAUUUUUCUUCAUCAUGACCGAACUUGCCUCUUCUUCAAAAGGCAUGAUGCUGCAGGUCAUUGGUCUAGACUGUUUGCACGGUCCAGAGAACAGCCUUGAUGUAACCCUUGCUCCGUCUGAGCCACACCACCAGCCGUGCAUCUGCAGACUGUAGGGGGACAUUGGAGAUCUGUAUUUGAAAAGAAGUCUGUCUGAUUUUGCCAUUGUGCCUUUUCACUCAUCGAUCGAAUGAAUAUCGAACCUUCUGUCGUUGCAUGUGUGAAAUAGAUAGCUUAGCAAGCACUUUUGUGCCCAACCUGUGCAGUGGGCCAAGAGGUUUUCCUUUCAGUCUCAAGAAUUUUUUCUUCAGACUUUAUGAAUUUCGUGUUAGCUUAAAUCAUUUAUAUGCCUUUAUCACACUGUUACUGUUUCAGUGACUUCCUCAGCAGACUUUCUCUUGGUGCUAGAGCAUUUUCUUUCCUGUCAAUUGUUUGUUUUCUUUUGUAGCUUUUUAAGGUCUUUGAACUUCACUCGUUUCUGACUACAAGUGGCUUAACUUUUACUGUACCCUAUGAAGCCAAAAAGUUGAGGUGUCCUUCUAAGGAGUUGGUGCAGUUAUGUCUAUCAUUUAACAGGCUUAAUUCCUGAAAGGUGAACUUGAACUGCCUCGAGGUAAUUUCAGUGAUUUGUAAGAGUAAGUAAAUCAAAUAAUCACAUUGAUUUUAAGCUAAACAAAACUGUUUGAUAACCUCUGUUUAAAGGAAAUAUUUCUUCUUUGUUUUUGCCCCUUUAACUGUUUGUGAAAAUAUUCUGAAACAUUGAAAUAUACUUAAAAGCACAUAAAUGUAUUGUGGUUUCUGAAAGGCACAUAAAGUCACUGUGAUUUAGUAUGCUAAAUAAAUAUCAUUUACUUGUCACAUAUCUCUGAUGGUAUGAUUUAAUUAGAAAAUAAACAAUAUGAAAAUGUUUAGAUUUAAUUUCUUAAUACAAUUAGAAUUCACUGAUUGUUAUCAAUAACCAAUGUUAAUAAUAAGCAAUAGCAACUAUACCACCUGCUAAUUCUAAAAUGUCUUUUACUAUGUCCUUACAAAAUCAGAACAACUUCAAAAUGCCUCAUCUGCUUAUCUUCAGUAUAUUACUUGAAAGCAUUGUUAGUGCCACCAGGUUUUGUUUUGCUGAGUUUCAUUUUAAGAAGCCAGUAUUUCAUACUUUAAGGCAUACAUAUUUUCUCUAAUUGCCACAGGCAAAGGGGAGGUCCACAGCAGAAUAAAGAAGGUUAUUGUGACAGAUGAAACAUAAUUCACAAUGAGCACUCUUUUCAUCCAGCCUUAAGUAGCAGAGGAUUACUCGCAAGCUGAAUUUUGUGGCAGAAUGUAUCAGCUGGUCUUAUUAAUGUACAAAGACAGAGCAAAGGCAGAAAAACCUAUUUCUCCAGCUGGGUGGUGGUUAUUUCCUGCGUGUCUGUUUAGGGAUCUUAUUUUGUUCUACCUAAGAUAGAAGAAUGCUGUCCAGAAGAGAGUCGAAACGCAGGGAGCAGGUGGGGAGGGUAGAAAAUCAGAAACCUAAAGCAAUAAAAGUUGUGAUUUUCUCUACUAGAUCAUGAUAAAUGAUGAGUUAAUAUCUUUCUACAUUCUUUGGCAUGCCUAUGAAAUAAAGACAUACUUUUUUUCAACAAACAUAUGAGCUGCAAAAAGUUUAUUCGUGCAAAGAACACAUUAAUAUAGCCUGUUGGGCCAGCAGUGACAAGCAUGAAAAGAGGCUGUCUAUUGAAACACCUGGGACAAAGGAUGGACACCAUAGAGAGAGUCCUUUGAAAUGGAUCCUGAAAAUCUCAAGCUGAGGAUGGCACAGGAAUGACAGGAAACUUCAUUACUCAGGCACAGGAUUUUCAGCUGAUGUUACCAGAGGGACUACUGAUGUACACCCAAAGCACCUUAGCAGAUUUAGACUACUACCCACACUGAAGAGUGAGAAGCACACUGAAGAUAGUAGCAUUAAAAUGAGAACUCCCCGAUACUCUCUCUUCUCCCUAUUGCAGCUUGGAUAGUGUGAAGUACAAAUUGCCUUUAAGAAGAUGCUGGAGGAUAAAUGAAAAAGUCUGAGGUAGUGGCAAAGAGAAGUUUCCACAUUCUGUUUCUAGGGCCAAGGACAUCUUGCAUGCAGCGGAUCCCAUCUGGGUGAAAAGAGAAAUAAGCUGAGAGAGAUGAGUAGUAACUGAUUGAUGUGAGACUUCUGGGCCUUUUUUUCUUUUUCUUUUUUAAAGGAGAGUUUCCAAUCUGUGUGCUAUGAAAAGACUUUGGAAGAUGUUAAGAGGGGAGUGACAUGAUCAGAGUUGAAAAUGUUGAGUUUGAUUUCUCUGUGAGGAUGAGGUUGGAGAAGAGAAGGAUAAAAUCCAGGCAGAACAGUUGGGGUGUUAUUGGAAUAGUUUUGGUGUGAGAGAAAAAGCCAUACUCUGGGUUGGUAGCAGUUAAGAACACAGAGUGAGAUGAUUUAAAAAUAUAUUUGUGAGGUAAAAGUAGCAGUACUCAUAGAUGAACUGGGUUUGAGAAAUUACAGAGGUGUAAAGGAUGAGAGCUAGGGUUUUGGCUUGAGCCACGGGGUGGAUGGGGGUGUUUAACAAAGGAACACACUGAAAUGAGGCUGGAGGUCCAAAUGGAGUUUAACGAUGGUUGACAGGUCAAAAACUCAGUAUCUCAGAAAUUCUCUAUAAAUGAAUUUAGAAGUCCUCCUUCCUUUUCCAGAACUGUUGAUCACUCCUUCCAGAAUCUAGAGACAUGAAUAAUAUCCUUAACAAUGUCAAAGAAUUUCUAUCAGUCCUUAAUUGCCUACUCAUCUGUUUAUCUUCUAUUUUUAACCAUUUCCUUGAUGUUGUUACCAUUGAUAACGGAAACUCACAUUUUAUUCACAGCAAUCCUCUUUCUCUGUUAUGUUUUAAAUGUGUGUGUGUGUGUGUGUGUGUGUGUGUGUGUGUGUGUUUGACAAUUGCUAUUACUUACAAACAUUUGUGUCAGCUAUAUUGGGUCAAAAUUGUUUGUUGGAAUCCAAAAUAAAUAACACAAAAGGAGAACAUGAUAAAGUACUGAGAUCAUUUGCAGAAGGUUGUGUUAAUAGUCAUUGGCUAACACUGUAGAGUAUAAUCCAUCAUAUUAGUUCUCACUGUCUGAAAGCUUAAAAUAGCAUUCAGAGCAUAUAAACAGUAGGUUACAACUUUUUGCUAUAUAUGUGCAUUUUUUUUUAUAAAAAUAAGAUUGAGAGGCCAAUAGAAUUAAUAUCGAUCAACAGUACCAGUGUUAAUUUCUAGGUUUUGAUAACUGGACUAUGAUUACAUAAUAUAUUGACAUUAGGAAAGAAGGGUGAAGGGUAUAUGGAAAUACUAGGCACUCUUUUUGUAACUUUUCUGUAGGUUUAAUAAUUAUCUCAAGAUACAAGCUGGGGGCUAGAGGUAGAAUGCUUGCCUAGCAUGCAUGAGGUCCUGGGUUCAAUCCCUGGCACCAUAAUAAGUAAAUACAUAGUUUUCAAAAAUCAGAACUGCAAUUGUACAUUUUAAAGGGUAUAUGUAUAUAAAAUAUCUAAAAUAGAAAGGUAUUCAAAUAUAAGCAUGAAAGUGUUAUUAUUUAUUGUUAUGUGUUUGUUCUUAAAUACAUGAGUUCAUUUAUAUUUACAAAUCAAACUGACUGCAUUAUAAAAUAUAAAAUAAGUGUGUAAAUACAUGACCAUACAGAAUGUCUUGGAGUUUAAUAAACAAAUAAGAAUGAAUAUCAUCUUAACUAGUUGUAAAAGAGCUAAGAAUUGACAAUAAAUCUGAAUGAAAAUUUGCUUAUGUUAUAGCCCAGUUUCCAGGUGCUCUUAAUAAAAAAAAAAUACUUAAUAAAAAAAUACAGAGGUCUAAACAGCUCUUUUAGUUUUACCAAAUCUGUUCAUCAUUUCACCAUUUUUGUAAACAUUAAGUCCUCAUUGCUUCUCUAAGGCCCUACAUGAGAGCAUCCUCCUCAACUCCCUCCUCACUCUCCUGUACCCAUUCUUUUAUGUAAGGCACACCACUUUAGGCAUAAUAAAACUGAUAGUAUUUAAAAGCCUUCAGAAGGAAAUAUAUUACCCUUAAAACAUAGAAACACAGAAAAAAAGAUCACACCCAGCUAGAUUCUAGUCCACCUCAUGCCUCUUUUGUACCUUGCCAACCAGGAUCACACCCUUCCUGUCUGUCUGUGUCCCCUUCACUCCUGCCAAUGUGGAUUGUCUACUGUGCCCUAAAGAGCGGCUUGACCCUUCCAUCCUGGUCUAUGUUCAUGUUAUUUCCCUUGAGAUAAUUUUUUUUCUCUCACUCAUUCAGAACACUGGAAUAUUACAUUAACGUGACAGAGGGGUCUUGCCCUCUAAAAGAGGUUAGCUUUGCUAAAGCUUCUGAAGGCUCCCAAUGAAAUUGCCCAUUUCUACUUCUCUCUUGGUCUACCUGUCAAAUAUGUAGAUUUUUUUCUUGGACUUGACUUCUUUGUUAUUAUGAUAUUUUUAUUACUGUAAUCUAUGGAAUAGCAAUUCAUAGAUUCAUAUUGUGCUCCCAGAUGUGGCUUUCACAAGGUCUAAAUGUUUGCAUUUAUUUUUCUGCAGUUUGCAAUGCCCAACAGUACGGUGGAUGCUCAGUAAAAAUUAUUAGAAUUAAGUUGAAUGCAGAUGGCAUUCUUUAAAAAAGCAGACAAAGGUUAAGCAUUCCUAAUCUGGAAAUCUGAAAUCUUAAGUGCUUCAAAAUAUGCAAUUUUGAGUGCUAAACUAAUGAUGCAAAUAGAAAAUUCCACACCAUGUAACUUUUUUUGUGCACAAUUUCUUAUAAGUAUUUUAUAAAAUUACCUUCAGUCUAUAUAUAUAAUGCAUACAUGAAACAUAAGUGAAUUUUAUGUUUAGAAUUUGGGUCUCAUCCCCAAGAUAUUGCAUUAUGUAUAUGCACAUGUUCCAAAUUUUGAAAAAAAAAUCAAAAUUUAAAAGACUUCUGGUCCCAAGUAAUUUUAAUAAGGGACACUUAACCCAUAUAAUUCAAAUUCAGCUCCUGAUCAUUAUCUCCAUUUCCCAGCUUUUCUUCCUUACUGCAGCAAGUUUAUCAAGCUAUUACUUCAGUCUUCAAAUACUGAUAAGCAUGUUUCUUGGAUACAUUUUUUAGAGUUUAGAUCAAUAAUCAUUAGCAAAAUAAAGCUAAAUAUGACAUAACUAUAAUUUUUUUCUCAUUGUAGAAACCAUGUCUUUUUUAUUCUGCAUGCUGUUCCAAGUUAUCAGUUGAAGAAAGGUAUAGCUGAGCUUUGUCAAUAUUCAGUUCACUUUCCUCAGACUCCUGUUUUGUCCUCUUAUUCAUUAUCUAAUACUUACAGCACCACUGCAUGUGGUUGCUUGGGCUGUACCCUAUAAAAGGGAGACCCAGGGAGAUGAGUGAAACUCCAAUACAGGCCAGGCUCUGAUGACCAAGCUAUGAGUCCAAUUACAUAUGCAAGGGUGGGUGCAUCAUCUGCCAAGAAGAAAGGGCACCUUUUAUAAUUCACACAAAGUGCACGUGGGGAUUCAUCUAGUCAAUGAGCUUUAAUAUAUUAUAUAGGGAAACUUUUCAAUAAUGAAACUCUUAAUGGGUUUUUUUUAGUCCAAUUUUGUUGAUAGGAGUGCAAUUGUCAUCUAAGUGAAUUUCAGCAUAGAAACAGUGGAGAAUUCAAUGAAUUAAACAUGCACAUUCUCCCUAGAAAUUAUAAAAAGAUGCAUUAAGUCAUUGGAUCGAUUUCUUUUCCAAUGUAAUGUUUUGUUCUGUUUUGUUUUUUUUAGAUUUUUUUUAUUGUUUUGUCCCAUAUGAGUUUAAACUAUUUAAGCCAUGGUUCUUAUUCCAUUUCCCAGGGGUUAAUAUUCAAGAGUAUUCUAGGAGUCCCUAAUAGUAAGUUGAAAGGUGGAUUUUUUAAUUUUAUUCUUCUUUGAUAAAAUAGACUCAGUGGAAUCUAGGGCAUUGAAUUAUUACUCUUAUAUUCCCUAUCAAAAAUAUUAGUACAAUCAGUGAAUAUUUUCUGUUGGCCAACUAUUGAUUAUGUUCUUAAUGUUCAUCAUCUCUUAUCUCCACAAACCAGCCUGACAGCAUUAUUCUCAUUUUUUUAGGAGAAAACUUUGGUGUUUAGUAAUUUCCUCAAGUGGAGAAAGUAAAUGUGUAUAAAUGUGUGUGAUCUAGAUGCUUCUGGUAACAGAACAAUGUCUCACUCCUUUAGAUAAUGUUUCACAAAGUACUGUCCAUUUUCUUUAAUAAAUUCUUUCAAAAAUUACUUAUCAACUAUUUCUUUGGUGCUCUGCAUUCUCCUAGAUUCUCAGGAUGUAUCUCCAGAUUUUAAAGAGACAAUAUCUUUGCUAUUAGGUAUUAGCAUGUAUUAUGAUAUGAAUAGAUCCAGAUAAAGAGAAAAAAAAGUAAUGAGUUGGAAGUAUUAAUUGGGACAUCACAGAAUCACUUUCUGAGGAAGUGAUGUUUUAGUAAUGGUCUGAUAUAAUAAGAAGAAAGCCAGGAAGGUUCAGGUUCUCAAGCAGAUAAAAUAAGUAAGUGUAGAGCCCUUAGGCUACAAACCAAGGCAUGUUAGAGGAACUUCUUGACGGUCAACCUACUAAGAUGGGAUACUCAAGGGGAGAAUGAAUAGUGGGAGUUGAAAUCAGAAACUCAAGCUGAAGUCCCAUGAUGCAAGCUCAAGUAGGCAAGGGUAGGGAGUUGAAAUGUUCCUCUAAUGAGAAACUAUAAAUGGGUUCUACCUAAUUUACAUUUUUGAAAAAUAACCCCAAUUGAUUUGAGGAAGAUUAUCUCUAGGGGGAGAAGAAUAGAAGCAGAAAUGGCAGUUAGGAAACUAGCUGAUGACAGUAUUUCAAGAAAAAGUGGCAAGUCCUGGAGGUUGGGAGAAGUGGUUAUACCAGACAGAGCUGAAAGUCAGGUUCGAAGGACUUAGAUGAAAUGUUGGUUGAAAAACAAGAAGGAUCCAAGAUGACACCUAGAUUUUACACUUCAGGUACUAGACAGAAGUUGGUGCCAUUUACUGAGACAGGGCAAUUCGAGAAAAGCAAGAUUUUAGGAGUGGGGGGGGGGCAAGAAAUUAGGAGUUCUGGAACAUUUUCAGCUAUAUCAGGAAAGACCUAGGAGGCACUUAUAGACACUUCCCAUGAAUGCAUAUGAGAUAUGGAAAAAAAAAAAACUACAUAUGCAUGCAUUUACCCUCCUGAUCAACAUGCAAAUACUGAAGUUUCCUUAAUGUUUUAUAUCA